UAAAGGUACCUCUGCCAAGUGAAAGUCAGUGGCCAGCUUCGCUGGCCAAACACUGACUGUCGAGUGGCAGCAAAGCUUUCAAUAAAAUCUCCCAAAAAAAGAAAAUCCACUUUGAUUUAGCUGAUUUGCAUAAAGAAGGAGAAACUGGCCCUCGUGGAAUUUUAAAUCUGGGGCCGUCUUUAACCGAUCGCGUUGGUUUGUGAAGUUGACCAAGGUUGUGGCGUUCAAAGGGAGAAAACGGCAAUCAACCUGUUGGAGAAAAUCUUCACCAUCUUUAAUCAGGAGGAGAGAAGCCUGUCAAGGAAAAACUUUCCUUUGGUCUGUACUCACUGUUCCUCACCCGUCCUUUGUUUGAUGUGCUCACGAGAGAGACAACGGAGAGAGUGAGUGUGUGCGUAAAAAGGGGGAAAGAGAAAAAGAGAGACGGUGUGUGAGUGUGCGAGGGAGAGAUUCAUUAUUCGGAUAAUGAGUCCAUCUGGGACAAUAUGAGACAGUUCACUUCCCCUGUGGUCGUCUCCAGCAUUCAGGGAGAGGACAUUUUUCCAGCUCGGAGCCAGAGGACGUCGAGCAGCGGCACGGCCUCGUUAGCAUGCCUGCCGACGGACGCUGCCGCCAUGCAGAGUUCUAUUCAAGAGCAGCGUCAAUCACUGCACCAUGGCUUCCUCCUUUUACUCCUCAACUUCUUUCCUUUCUUGAGCCAAAAUAAAAACAUCAGGCUUGGUGGGCAAGCCCUACAGGAGAGAAGAAAAGCCGGUAUGCAGAUUCGGAUGUAUGACCGCCACCCUUUGAUUGGCUGUGGCGACACCUCCUCCUCCUACCUUGAUGAAGACCGGCUGUGAUUGGUGGUGCACCUGUUCCGGCUCUCCAAUCCGAGGCACUGGAGAGACCGGUGGCUACAAAUGCCAAGCCAGCUCGACGGCCGGGGCUGCUGGUGUUGUCAGCCUACGCAUAUGCAUUUCUGUUUGGUCCGAGACUGUCAUGCUUUUAUAGAGUAUCUUGAAUGUUGCAUAUUGUGUUUCGUGUUCCAUGCAAGCUGUCCGAGUUGUUUAGGUGACACCCUAACCCUAACCCUAACCCUUUUAGGGUUAUUUGUUAAGCACGCUAGGUGCUCCGGUGCUGUUAUGCCUUUUUGUUUUUAUUUUGUGUUCAUCCAGUUUUCACCCCGAGCUUUGUUUUAGAAAUGUUUAGGUUGGGGUUUAUUUAGUUUGACACCUUAUGCUCUUAUGUUAAGAUCCCUCCUUUUUGUUCUAUUUCUCUCUUGAAAAGCAAUUGGUUGCCAAUUAUACAUAUUCUAUUAAUAAAUAUACUUUAUUUACCAUCAACAUCUGGUUAUAUGUUACUCCCUUUUCCCUUGCCGAGCCGGGUCGUAACAUAAAUGAGGGCUCAUCCGGGAUCAUUAACAGACUCCCUCAGAAGAUCAAAUUGAGAGAUGCCGUAAGGAUGAUUUAAGCCAAAUUGCGACCCACUUCGGUAUCAUGUACUCCAGGUCCAUACUUAAGAGAGAGCUUAAGGCUCUAGUUGAAAAGGAGUUGGUGGAACGGGGGAUGGUUGUGUUGCCAGUACGGCCAGAGCUUGCUGUGCUUGAGGGCACACCGAGUCAAAAGCUUGAGGGAACCCCAAGGUGCUGACGCAGUGGCAGAAGUUGAUGCCGAGGUAGACGGGCGGAUGAAAACUCUGUUUACGUUGCCUCGCUAUGAGCCCCUGUCUUCUAUCAAUUCUGGGUGCAGAGAUGGGGCUCGACUUAAAGUCCGCCUUGCCCGUCUCCAAAUGGAAGCUCAGGAAAAAGUGCAGACAGACAAGCUCAGCAUGAGAUCAGGAAACUGUAAAUAGAAACUGACAAAGGCAUACGGCUGCGUC
ensembl:lncRNA